GAGGAUCGCUCCAAGUGCUUAUCAAGGGCAUCGUUGAUACGCUUUCGAUCGACUUGACCCAUCUCCGGCCUCGAUCCACCGCCUCCUCUGUCUCUAUACAUUCUUCUCUCUCUCUUUCCUCCCUCUCUCUCUGUAUAUAUAUAAAUUAGGGUUUUGAAGGUGAGGGCACGAAGCAGCUAACCCAUGCUCUUUCUCUCUCUCUCUCUCUCUCUCUCUCUCUCUCUCAAGAUUUUUGUUCUAGAGAUCUGAUUGGAAAACGAUAAGGAAAGAG